GGUUUUUCGGGCUUACAUGGAAAAUCUAACCUGCUCGCUGAAGUUAUUUGAAGAGCUGCAGUAUAUUGACUGUACAAAGGUAGCAUAAUCAUUAGUCUUUUGAUUGGGGACUGGAAUGAAUGGUUGGACGAAGCUUAGCUGUCUCUGGAAGAUGGAAUGAAUUUUUUUUUUUGUGAAAAGACAAGGAUGAAUUAAAGGGACGAGAAGACCCUAUUAAACUUGAUUUAUUAAUAAUUGUUAUUAAUUUAAUAAGAAGUUUUUUUUGAUUGGAUUUUGCUGGGGCGGCAAAAGUAGAACGAUUAUUAGAUUUAAUGUAAUUAUUGGCGAUUAGAUAGAUCCGCUGGAGCGAUAGAAAGGAGAAGUUACUAUAGGGAUAACAGCGUAAUAUUUUUUGAGAGUUCGAAUUGACGGAAAUGUUUGCGACCUCGAUGUUGGAUUAGGAAGUUCUUUUGGCGCAGGAGUUAAAUGGAAUAGUCUGUUCGACUAUUAAAUUCCU
rnacentral:rRNA from 1 species